UCAAAACCCUCUUCUCCAUCAACAUCUCCAAAACAUGUCAACUCUCCACCCUCUUCUUCUGCUGAUGAAAGUACUCAUCAUACUACAUCAUCUUCAUCUGAACAAGAAAAGGAAAAACUUGUUAACAAGUCUGAGCCAAUUCCACAAGAAACUGAAGUUGAGUCUGAGUUGAAGGUGAAGGCGAAUUCACCGUUAAGAGAAAUCACCAAGUUACCGAAAGAAAACAUUUGGCAAACAUCAUCUACCUCUGAAGAAGAAAAAGAGAAGAUGUCAGUGUCUAAUCUGAUGCCAAAUGAAGUAGAACCAAAGAUGAAAUCACCGUUGAAAAGCAACCCUAUGUCACGACCAGAGAAUCUGUUUAAGCACACAACAACAAAUUUAGAUGAGGAAAGAUCAAUCUCACUGGAAGAAAACACUUGGCAAACAUCAUCUACCUCUCAAGAAGAAAAAGAAAAGAUGUCAAUGUCUAAUCCAAUGUCAAAUGAAGCAGAACCAAAGAUAAAGUCACCGUUGAAAAUUAACCCCAUGUUACAACCAGAGAAUCUGUUUAAGCACACAACAACAAAUUUAGAUGAGGAAAGAUCAAUUUCACCGGAAGAAAACACUUGGCAAACAUCAUCUACUUCUCAAGAAGAAAAAGAGAAGAUGCCAAUGUCUAAUCCGAUGCCAUAUGAAGCAGAACCAAAGAUGAAGUCGCCGUUGAAAAUCAACUCCAUGUCACGAUCAGAGAAUCUGUUUAAGCACACAACAAAAAAUUUAGAUGAGGAAAAAUCAAUCUCACCGAAAGAAAACGCUUGGCAAACAUCAUCUACCACUCAAGAAGAAAAAGAGAAGAUGUCAAUGUCUAAUCCGAUGCCAUAUGAAGUAGAACCAAAGAUGAAGUCACCGUUGAAAAUCAACCCCAU
rnacentral:lncRNA from 1 species